CUGAUCUCACCACUCAGAGAAACAAAGUCCUACAUUAAAAAUGGAUCCAUAUUGCACAAUGUGUUUGUUCUAAGUCCUGGAAACUAUUUAUUACAGGAAAUUUGAUUCUGCACUUCUCUGAGAUUUGAAGAGUCAAAGCGGUUUUGCCUAAUGACCGAAUAAUGUCACGAAGGCAGAGUGAAACCACUGAGCAAGAAAGUACUUGAGAUUUCAACAAAAAGAAACACAUUCCUGAUAGAAGACAGCUUCCAUCUUGACCAGAGAACAGUGAGAGAUGAGCCUUCCACUUGCACUUUAACCUAUUGAUGACUGGGAGAAUUUUUGCACAGACUUGUUUCUGCGCCCAUUCAUUUCCAGUCUAGUUUAUCCUCUGUUGUUCACGUACAUCUGCUUCUGAAGCCACAGGACAAGUUUACUUCCUGUCUUGAACUCAACAUCAGUCUUUUUUGCAGAAAACAGUGAUGAAAGAACUUCUGUGGAAAGGAAAAGACGGACAGACAGGAUGCAUAGCAGAGGAUGAGGAGCUGCUGAACUGGAACAAGUGACUUCUCAUGAAAUGAUGGGCUUACAUAUUGAAUUGAGUUUAUGGAGCUCAGACUAUUAUUUUACUUAUUAUGCUUGCAGGCCUAAAUCAAUUCCACCCAUGAAAUGUUUGAUUUUAAUAUGUUAGAUUCUCUCCUGCAGGUUUCUCUAUCACUGUCUUUGUCUCUCUUGCUUUCUCUCACUCCCCAAACCCAUCUCCUCCUUAAUCUUUUCAUUCCAAAAGUAGCACCUCUCUAGCUGUACAGUAACAAAACAAAAGGAGAAUAUACAGCAAGCUAUAGUAGUGAAUGGGAUCAUCAAUUAAAAAUGUUUUGAAACUGUGAGUAUAUAAACUAUUUUAAAGCUCUCUAGGGCACUUUGUAAAAAGAACAACAACAAAAAUUAUUUCUACUGUAUUUAUUCUGCUUCACAAUCAAAGGUUAUUUGUUUAUUUAUUUAUUUAUUAGAUUAAAUCUAUUUGUUAGGCAAAAAUUAGAUAUGGUAAUAAACUGAGGAUGAUAGUCUAUUUGUCAUCAAUACUUAACCCCCUCGAAAGAAAGAAGAAAUAAAUGCUGGGCCACUGAUAGUGAAUCAAUAGUGUUAUCUUCAUUUGCAAAGGACAGCACAUUAGAACAUGUUGAUUUAGAGUUCCUUGUUCUUGUUGAAUAAACACACCAGUGGCUAAUCAUUUGCUACUAAAUAUAUUUUUCAAAGGUGAACAAAGGAAGUAGAUAAUUUGAUGAUCCUUAAUGAAGCUCAUAACACAGUAUUUUUAAUACUUUUAUAAGCCUUUGUUUAUGAAAGCUAAAUGAGUAUAGAUCUCUGAUGGAAAGAUUCCCACCCCCACCCCCGUCAUCUGUGAGUGAUUCUGGCUAGUAAAUUGUAUGCUGUCCUCUACAUCGCCUUGUAAAUGACCUUAACCCUGACCUUGACACAGCAGUAUUUCUAAGACACAAUAAUAAUUUAUUCUCCAUGUUAGAUGAACUAAGCUCCUGGUGGUUCUCAGCUAUAAUUUUCUAUUAUUUGCC
ensembl:lncRNA